rnacentral:rRNA from 1 species
GACGAACGCUGGCGGCGUGCUUAACACAUGCAAGUCGAACGGAAAGGCCCUGCUUUUGUGGGGUGCUCGAGUGGCGAACGGGUGAGUAACACGUGAGUAACCUGCCCUUGACUUUGGGAUAACUUCAGGAAACUGGGGCUAAUACCGGAUAGGAGCUCCUGCUGCAUGGUGGGGGUUGGAAAGUUUCGGCGGUUGGGGAUGGACUCGCGGCUUAUCAGCUUGUUGGUGGGGUAGUGGCUUACCAAGGCUUUGACGGGUAGCCGGCCUGAGAGGGUGACCGGCCACAUUGGGACUGAGAUACGGCCCAGACUCCUACGGGAGGCAGCAGUGGGGAAUAUUGCACAAGGGGCGGAGGCCGGAUGCAGCAACGCCGCGUGCGGGAUGACGGCCUUCGGGUUGUAAACCGCUUUCGCCUGUGACGAAGCGUGAGUGACGGUAAUGGGUAAAGAAGCACCGGCUAACUACGUG